rnacentral:rRNA from 1 species
GUACACGCUGUGACUAGCAUAUCAAUAAGCGGAGGAAAAGAAACUAACAAGGAUUCCCCUAGUAACGGCGAGUGAAGCGGGAAGAGCUCAAAUUUGAAAUCUUAAAGGGUUUCCCUUUACGAAUUGUAGUUUAAAGAAGCGUUUUCUGUUGAGGUUUUGGUAAAAGUUCUUUGGAAUAGGACAUCAUAGAGGGUGAGAAUCCCGUAUUUGACCUUUACUUUCAACUUUGUGAUACACUUUCAAAGAGUCGGAUUGUUUGGGAAUGCAGUCCAAAAUGGGUGGUAAAUUUCAUCUAAAGCUAAAUAUUGGCGAGAGACCGAUAGCGAACAAGUACCGUGAGGGAAAGAUGAAAAGAACUUUGAAAAGAGAGUUAAACAGUACGUGAAAUUGUCAAAAGGGAAGCGUUUGACACCAGUGUUGUUUUUCUGAAAAUCAAUUAAAGAACUGUUUAUGCUAAGUUGUUUAGACUUUAUCAGCUAACUGUUUAGUUUUGAGCUUUUCUUUAAUGCACUUUUCAGUUAACAAGUCAACAUCAAUUUCUUUUGCUGUAAAAAAGCUUGAGGAAGGUGGCUUGAGAUUCGUCUUAAGUGUUUAUAGCCUCUUGCCUAUGCAGUCGGAGAGAUUGAGGUCUGCAGCGUAGAUCCUUCGGGGCUAAAUGCAUUUGUGCUAAGUUAUAGCAUUUUAUAGACAACUUGUUGACUAUGAUUUGUCUUGUAGCUUACUCGCUUAUGUUAUUUUACCUACGCUUAGGAUGUUGAAGAUGUAGCACAUCAU